rnacentral:rRNA from 1 species
CUGAACGGAUGAUCAGCCACACUGGGACUGAGACACGGCCCACACUCCUACGGCAGGCAGCAGUGGGGAAUAAUCCGCAAUGGGCGAAAGCCUCGGGGAGCAACGCCGCGAGAGGGAGGAAGGCUCUUGGGUUGUAAACCUCAGUUCUCAAGGAAGAUAAUGACGGUACUGAGGAAUCAGCAUCGGCUAACUCCGUGCCAGCAGCCGCGGUAAUACGGAGGAUGCAAGCGUUAUCCGGAAUAAUUGUGCGUACCGCGUUCGUAGGUGGUUUUUUAAGUCUGCUGUUAAAGCGUGUAGCUCAACUACAUAUAGGCAGUGGAAACUACAAAACUUGAUUGCGUUCGGGGUAGAGGGAAU